UUUUUGGCCAUUUCUUGGGCUGCUCCUGCAGCAUAUGGAGGUUCUUCAAAAAACUAAAAAUAGAACUACUAUUUGAUCCAGCAUUCCCACUCCUGGGCAUCUAUCCAGAGAAAACCAUAAUUCAAAAAGGUUCCCCAAGGUUCAUUGCAGCACUAUGUACAAUGGCCAAGACAUGGAAGCAACCUAAAUGUCUACCAAGAGAGGAAUGGAUAAAGAAAAUGUGGUACAUAUAUACAAUGGACUAUUACUCACCCAUAAAAAGAAUGAAAUAACAUCAUUUGUGGCAACAUGGAUGGACCUAGAAACUAUUAUACUAAGUGAAAGACAAACAUAUGAUAUCACCUGUGGAAUCAUAUUCCAGAUCCACAUGGAAUCUGAAAAAAAAAAAAGAUACAAAUGAACUUUUUUGUGGGAUAGAAACAGACUCACAGGCUUUGAAAAACUUGUGGUUACCAAAGGGGACAGGUCGGGCGUCGGGGGGAGGAACUGGGGGUUUGCGCACUGAGGUAUAUGGAGUGACUGGCCAACAGGGGCCUGAGGUAUAACACAGAGAACUCCACCCAGCACCCUGUGAUGAUCUACGUGGGAAAACAUUCUGAGACAGAAUGGAAAUGUGUGUAUGUAUGACUGGGUCACUUGCUGCACCGCAGCAAUUACCACAACCUCGUAAAUUACUUAUACUUCAAUAAAACCUAAAAAAAAAAAAAAAAAGUCCCAGAGAAGAGAGAAUCACCAUGAGCUGGGGGUACAAAAAGUGGCCUCAUGGAGUUGGGGGGAGGGUGAACAGAGGAGACAACCAAGAAAAUGAUGACAUGAGGAUCGUACAACUUUCAUUAGGUUAAAUGGGCUACGGCCCCAGGAUGAGUAACCAGACUAUCUAAGGAACACCUAUAAUAAAGAAGAAAAAGGAAAAGAAGCAAAAAAGGAUGAACAGCCUACAUCCAAAAGAAGAAACGUAAAUGAAAAGCCUUCCUCAUCUUCACAGGGGAAUACAAAUUAAAACCACAAGGAAAUUUCAUUUCAUACCCAUCAGACUCGAAAAAACAAAAAAGCUUUACAAAAUCAAAUGUGACAGGAUACAGAACAACAGGAACUCGUAUGUGUCCUUGCCGGGAACGUUCAGAGAACCUCCUGACAACAUUCAGCAAAGUUAAAGAUACUCACUUCUUUGUGUGUGUGUUUGCUAUUUCUUGGGCCGCUCCCGCAGCAUAUGGGAGGUUCGCAGGCUAGGAGUCGAACUGGAGCUGUAGCCUCCGGCCUACACCACAGCCACAGCAAUGUGGGAUCCGAGCCGCAUCUGCAACCUACACCACAGCUUACGGCAAUGCCGGAUCAUUAACCCACUGAGCAAGGGCAGGGACCGAUCCCGCAACCUCAUGGUUCCUAGUCGGAUUCGUUAACCACUGCGCCACGACAGGAACUCCAAGAUACUCACUUCUUACACUUACCCAUCUCAUGCCUCGGUACGCACCUCAAAGAAAUUCUUGCCCAUGCACCUCAGGAAAUGUGUGUAACGACAUUCAAAGUAGG
rnacentral:lncRNA from 1 species